rnacentral:tRNA from 1 species
CGGGCCUUAGUAUACCGGUAGUACGCACGAUUCGGGUUCGUGUAGACCGGGUUCGAUUCCCGGAGGCCCGACCA